rnacentral:rRNA from 1 species
AACGAAUGCUGGCGGCAGGCCUAACACAUGCAAGUCGAACGCCGUAGCAAUACGGAGUGGCAGACGGGUGAGUAACACGUGGGAACGUACCCCUCGGUUCGGGAUAACUCAGGGAAACUUGAGCUAAUACCGGAUACGUCCGAGAGGAGAAAGAUUUAUCGCCGAGGGAUCGGCCCGCGUCUGAUUAGCUUGUUGGUGAGGUAACGGCUCACCAAGGCGACGAUCAGUAGCUGGCUGAGAGGAUGAUCAGCCACAUUGGGACUGAGACACGGCCCAAACUCCUACGGGAGGCAGCAGUGGGGAAUAUUGGACAAUGGGCGCAAGCCUGAUCCAGCCAUGCCGCGUGAGUGAUGAAGCCCUAGGGUUGUAAACCGCUUCAGUAGGGACGAAGCGAGAGUGACGGUACCUACAGAAGAAGGACCGGCUAACUACGUGCCAGCCGCCGCCGUAAC